CAGAAUCAGGAUCCUCUUUUGACGACCUCGACCCCGACCCCGACUAUGACGACGACGACCCUGACCCCGAUUCCGAAGACGACCCCGACCCCCACUCCGAUGAUGACCUCAACCUCGAAUUUGUCUAUGAUUCAGACCCCGAUCCCGAUUUCGACUCCGACUUCGGCCCCGACUCAGGCUCAGAUUCCGAUCCAAAUUCCUACUCAACCUGUAUCCUAUGCUUCUUCCGCUGCACAGAUUGUGACUUCUAGACUAACGACCCCGAC
rnacentral:lncRNA from 1 species